rnacentral:lncRNA from 10 species
CCGCGCCCGGCCAGAUUUCAAUAUUUUUAUUUAAAGCACACAUAUUUUGCUCUGGCCAGAAUGGAAAAUGUUAAUUUGGUUACCCCAUGCCACCCCCUGGGUAGCAUCUUGCAAAAGUAAGAGGAUUUUGCUUGUGGUUCUGUGAUUUUCCAUUGUGAUGCAGCUUGCCUCUCAGUGGUUGCUAGGGCCACUCAGGGAAGAGGAACUCCAAAACCUGACAUGUUGGCAAAAAGCUGUUUUCCCUGCCUGAGAUGUUCUUCCUCCAGAUCAUCAGGUGGACAACUCCUUCUCAUCAUUUUGGGCUCAGGUCUAGUUUUUCCUCCUCAAAGAGAAUUUCUGUGAUCAUUUAAUCUAAAGACAUGGAUGAAACUGAAGACCAUUAUCUUAAGUGAAACAACUCAGACAAAUAUCAUGUGGAAACUCACUGGGCUGAUGAAUGCAGUCUUCCUGAUGUGAAUGGGAUUGAAGAGCUUGUCAAAAAACAUAAAGCCAACUUCACCCUUGUCACUGAACUGAGACUUUUCAACCAAACCUGUUACACAGAAAAGAAAAUACCGAAAGAAUAUUCAUCAAUCUGUAAAUAGUGAUUAUCUGUGGGGUAUGUGUGGAAAAUUAUAGGAGACUUAAAUAUUCUACAUGAUAGAUUUUUAUAAUAGUUUAUUUUUAUAAUUAGUGUGUUAUGUUUGUAAUUAUAAAUCAACAACAGCAAAAUAUAAUUUAAAGGCUCAGAGUUUUAAUAAAAUAUUUAGAAUUGGAUAAAUUCAUCUAUGUGGCUUUAAAAGUAAAGUUUAAGAUCUCUGUUGGUUAUUUGGCCCUCUGGUUCUAAUCUUUCCAUUUUGGUAAUAUGUCCUGUAAAGAUUAAUCUCUUUCAUUUUCACAACACAUAUUUGUUAAGCACUUACACUAUUCCAGACACUGUUCCAGGUAUUGAGAUUGCAAGAGAUGAUUCUUGACAUGCUAGAAUAGUGCUUCAAUAUGGGAGAUAGGAAAAAAAGAAUUAAAAUGUCGUGCAUAAUUAUGUUAGGGGAAUCUUGGGAAUAGUACUUAGGAAAAUCUUGCAGACAAUUCUUGGGAAAACUACCCACUAUUGCCCAGGGUGUCAAGCAUAGCUUUCUAGCAGAAAGG